UUUGUUGGGUUGAUAUUGUCGAUUAUAAUAUUACGUAUUUGUUCGAAAGGACAAUGAUGCGAAGCUACCAUCCGACGGCUUACAACUGAACGCCUCUAAGUUGGAAUCCGAUCUAGACUCAAUGAUUUUUUGGCACAUUGGUUGUCGUCAGCACAUUUAUAUAUGUUCCAACUGUUGAUCAAGUGAACAUAUGAAUGAAGCUACCGUAUUGUUGCCUCGUCAUAAUCGUAAUGAGAUUGUGAUUGCAACGAUGCAUUUUUAGUCGAAACAACACUAAUGGCUAGAAUCGAUUGUAAACGACUUUCUUCAGUAACAGAGUAACGUACACGUGAGAGCAACCGCCACAUUGCGAUCCGCUGAGUUUCUGCUCGAUGUUAUGCUGAUUC
rnacentral:rRNA from 1 species